AGCAGAAAAUGAUGAGUGUCAUAUACAAGAUAAAUGUUUUUGUGUAUAAAUGGAAGUGUAAGCACUCCACCUCAAGAGUAACGUGGCAACAAGGGAACUGAAAUCAUUAGACCGUUUCUGAAACUCGUAGUGAAGUAUGUUGUUUAAUUUGAUGGUCCUCAAAUAACCUUACCACAAUUUGUAUAACUAUUGUACGAUAGUUACAAGCGUUGCACGGCUGUCUUCAGUCAAUAUUGUGAAACAUUGGUUAGAUCCAUUUAAUUGACGUAAACCCUUACUUUAAUUAUUUUAAAGUAGUUCGCCGCUAUAUUGGUAGUGAUAUAAGGGACUAGGACAA
rnacentral:rRNA from 1 species